AGAGUUUGCUUUUGGCUCAGGAUGAACGCUGGCGGCGUGCUUAACACAUGCAAGUCGAACGAAACACCUUAUUUGAUUUUCUUCGGAACUGAAGAUUUGGUGAUUGAGUGGCGGACGGGUGAGUAACGCGUGGGUAACCUGCCCUGUACAGGGGGAUAACAGUCAGAAAUGACUGCUAAUACCGCAUAAGACCACAGCACCGCAUGGUGCAGGGGUAAAAACUCCGGUGGUACAGGAUGGACCCGCGUCUGAUUAGCUGGUUGGUGAGGUAACGGCUCACCAAGGCGACGAUCAGUAGCCGGCCUGAGAGGGCGGACGGCCACAUUGGGACUGAGACACGGCCCAAACUCCUACGGGAGGCAGCAGUGGGGAAUAUUGCACAAUGGGGGAAACCCUGAUGCAGCGACGCCGCGUGAAGGAUGAAGUAUUUCGGUAUGUAAACUUCUAUCAGCAGGGAAGAAAAUGACGGUACCUGACUAAGAAGCCCCGGCUAACUACGUGCCAGCAGCCGCGGUAAUACGUAGGUGGCAAGCGUUAUCCGGAAUUACUGGGUGUAAAGGGAGCGCAGGCGGGAUAGCAAGUCAGCUGUGAAAACUAUGGGCUCAACCCAUAAACUGCAGUUGAAACUGUUAUUCUUGAGUGGAGUAGAGGCAAGCGGAAUUCCGAGUGUAGCGGUGAAAUGCGUAGAUAUUCGGAGGAACACCAGUGGCGAAGGCGGCUUGCUGGGCUCUAACUGACGCUGAGGCUCGAAAGUGUGGGGAGCAAACAGGAUUAGAUACCCUGGUAGUCCACACUGUAAACGAUGAUUGCUAGGUGUGGGGGGUCUGACCCCCUCCGUGCCGGAGUUAACGCAAUAAGCAAUCCACCUGGGGAGUACGGCCGCAAGGUUGAAACUCAAAGGAAUUGACGGGGACCCGCACAAGCAGUGGAUUAUGUGGUUUAAUUCGAAGCAACGCGAAGAACCUUACCAGGUCUUGACAUCCGACUAACGAGAUAGAGAUAUGUCAGGUGCCCUUCGGGGAAAGUCGAGACAGGUGGUGCAUGGUUGUCGUCAGCUCGUGUCGUGAGAUGUUGGGUUAAGUCCCGCAACGAGCGCAACCCUUAUCCUCAGUAGCCAGCAGGUCAAGCUGGGCACUCUGUGGAGACUGCCAGGGAUAACCUGGAGGAAGGUGGGGAUGACGUCAAAUCAUCAUGCCCCUUAUGAUCUGGGCUACACACGUGCUACAAUGGCGUAAACAAAGGGAGGCAAAGCCGCGAGGUGGAGCAAAUCCCAAAAAUAACGUCUCAGUUCGGACUGCAGUCUGCAACUCGACUGCACGAAGCUGGAAUCGCUAGUAAUCGCGAAUCAGAAUGUCGCGGUGAAUAAAUUCCCGGGUCUUGCAC
rnacentral:rRNA from 1 species